rnacentral:rRNA from 1 species
AGUCGAGGGGCAGCACGGUAGCAAUACUGGUGGCGACCGGCGCACGGGUGCGUAACACGUAUACAAUCUGCCUUUAACUGGGGCAUAACCUUUCGAAAGAGAGACUAAUACCCCAUAAUAGUAGAGAAGGCAUCUUCUUUAUUUGAAAGCUCCGGCGGUUAAAGAUGAGUAUGCGGAUGAUUAGCUAGAUGGUGAGGUAACGGCUCACCAUGGCGACGAUCAAUAGGGGAUCUGAGAGGACUACCCCCCACACUGGUACUGAGACACGGACCAGACUCCUACGGGAGGCAGCAGUAAGGAAUAUUGGACAAUGCUCGCAAGAGUGAUCCAGCCAUGCCGCGUGCAGGAAGACGGCCCUAUGGGUUGUAAACUGCUUUUGAACUAGAGAAAACCCCCCUUCGUGAAGGGGGCUGAUAGUAUAGUUAGAAUAAGCAUCGGCUAACUUCGUGCCAGCAGCCGCGGUAAGACGAAGGAUGCAAGCGUUAUCCGGAUUCAUUGGGUUUAAAGGGAGCGUAGGUGGAUUUGUAAGUCAGUGGUGAAAGCCAGCAGCUUAACUGUCGAACUGCCAUUGAUACUGCGGAUCUUGAGUAUGGUUGCUGUGGGCGGAAUAUGACAUGUAGAGGUGAAAUUCAUAGAGAUGUCAUAGAACACCGAUUGCGAAGGCAGCUCACAAAGCCAUUACUGACACUGAGGCUCGAAAGUGCGGGGAUCAAACAGGAUUAGAUACCCUGGUAGUCCGCACUGUAAACGAUGAUUACUCGCUGCUAGGAGGUAACUUUUAGUGGCUAAGCGAAAGCGAUAAGUAAUCCACCUGGGGAGUACG